GCUCCCAUAGUCAAGCGGUUAAGAUGUCGCCCUCUCACGGCGGAGUCAGGGGUUCGAGUCCCCUUGGGAGUACCA
rnacentral:tRNA from 1 species